rnacentral:snRNA from 1 species
GCUCACUUCGGCAGCACAUAUAAUAAAACUCAACAUUCAGAAAACGAAGAUCAUGGCAUCUG